CCUACGGGAGGCUGCAGUGGGGAAUAUUGGACAAUGGGGGCAACCCUGAUCCAGCCAUGCCGCGUGUGUGAAGAAGGCCCUCGGGUUGUAAAGAACUUUCAGUGAGGAAGAACGCCUGGUGGUUAAUACCCAUCAGGAAAGACAUCACUCACAGAAGAAGCACCGGCUAACUCCGUGCCAGCAGCCGCGGUAAUACGGAGGGUGCGAGCGUUAAUCGGAAUUACUGGGCGUAAAGCGCGCGUAGGUGGCUUGAUAAGCCGGUUGUGAAAGCCCCGGGCUCAACCUGGGAACGGCAUCCGGAACUGUCAAGCUAGAGUGCAGGAGAGGAAGGUAGAAUUCCCGGUGUAGCGGUGAAAUGCGUAGAGAUCGGGAGGAAUACCAGUGGCGAAGGCGGCCUUCUGGACUGACACUGACACUGAGGUGCGAAAGCGUGGGUAGCAAACAGGAUUAGAUACCCCUGUAGUC
rnacentral:rRNA from 1 species